rnacentral:rRNA from 1 species
AUUGAACGCUGGCGGAAUGCUUUACACAUGCAAGUCGAACGGCAGCACGGGGCAACCUGGUGGCGAGUGGCGAACGGGUGAGUAAUACAUCGGAACGUGCCCAAUCGUGGGGGAUAACGUAGCGAAAGUUACGCUAAUACCGCAUACGAUCUACGGAUGAAAGCGGGGGACCGUAAGGCCUCGCGCGAUAGGAGCGGCCGAUGGCGGAUUAGCUAGUUGGUGAGGUAAAGGCUCACCAAGGCGACGAUCCGUAGCUGGUCUGAGAGGAUGAUCAGCCACACUGGAACUGAGACACGGUCCAGACUCCUACGGGAGGCAGCAGUGGGGAAUUUUGGACAAUGGGGGCAACCCUGAUCCAGCCAUUCCGCGUGAGUGAAGAAGGCC